ACUCCUACGGGAGGCAGCAGUGGGGAAUAUUGCACAAUGGGCGCAAGCCUGAUGCAGCCAUGCCGCGUGUAUGAAGAAGGCCUUCGGGUUGUAAAGUACUUUCAGCAGUGAGGAAGGUUCAUGCGUUAAUAGCGUAUGGAUUUGACGUUAGCUGCAGAAGAAGCACCGGCUAACUCCGUGCCAGCAGCCGCGGUAAUACGGAGGGUGCGAGCGUUAAUCGGAAUUACUGGGCGUAAAGCGCAUGCAGGUGGUUUGUUAAGUCAGAUGUGAAAGCCCGGGGCUCAACCUCGGAAUUGCAUUUGAAACUGGCAGACUAGAGUACUGUAGAGGGGGGUAGAAUUUCAGGUGUAGCGGUGAAAUGCGUAGAGAUCUGAAGGAAUACCGGUGCGAAGGCGGCCCCCUGGACAGAUACUGACACUCAGAUGCGAAAGCGUGGGGAGCAAACAGGAUUAGAUACCCUGGUA
rnacentral:rRNA from 1 species